rnacentral:rRNA from 1 species
GAUGAACGCUGGCGGCGUGCCUAAUACAUGCAAGUCGAACGAACAGACGAGGCGCUUGCUGCUCUGACGUUAGCGGAGGGCGGGUGAGUAACACGUGGAAAACCUACCUAUAUGACUGGGAUAACUACGGGAAACCGGCGAUAAUACCGGAUAAUAUAUUGCACCGCAUGGUUCAAUAGAGAAAGACGGCUUUGCUGUAUCUUCUCGAUGCAUACGCGCUGGAUUAGGUAGUUGGUAAGGUAACGGCUUACCACGGGUAGGAUGCGUAGGCGAACGGAGAGGGUGAUCGGCGACACUGGAACGUGAACAGCGUCCUGACUACUGAGGGAGGCAGCAGUAGGGAAUGGUAGGCAGUGGGCGAAAGCCUGACGGAGCAAGGGGGCGUGAGUGGUGGAGACGUUGGGAGCGUGAUAAUGUGUUAUGAGGUAAGAACAAAUGUGUAAGUUACUGAGCACGGCGUGACGGUACCGGAUCAGAAAGCCACGGCUAACUACGUG